rnacentral:rRNA from 1 species
GUGCACCAGGCGAGAAACCUUCACAAUGCACGAAAGUGUGAUGAGGGUACUCCGAGUGCGCAUACAUUGUAUGUGCUUUUCUGCAGCGUAAAUAGUUGCAGGAAUAAGGGCUGGGCAAGACCGGUGCCAGCCGCCGCGGUAACACCGGCAGCCCUAGUGGUGGCCGCUUUUAUUGGGCCUAAAGCGUCCGUAGCCGGACAGGCGAGUCUUUGGGUAAAUCCUACGUCUUAAGCGUGGGAAUUCUAAAGAUACUACCUGUCUUGAGGCCGGGAGAGGCUGGAGGUACUCCUGGGGUAGGGGUAAAAUCCUAUAAUCCUGGGGGGACCACCGAUGGCGAAGGCAUCCAGCUGGAACGGGCCUGACGGUGAGGGACGAAGCCCAGGGGAGCGAGCCGGAUUAGAUACCCACGUAGUCC